UACGUAGGGGGCAAGCGUUGUCCGGAUUUAUUGGGCGUAAAGAGCGUGUAGGCGGCCAGGUAGGUCUGCUGUGAAAACUCGAGGCUCAACCUCGAGAUGUCGGCGGAAACCAUCUGGCUAGAGUCCGGAAGAGGAAAGUGGAAUUCCCGGUGUAGCGGUGAAAUGCGCAGAUAUCGGGAAGAACACCCGUGGCGAAGGCGGCUUUCUGGAACGGUACUGACGCUGAGACGCGAAAGCGUGGGGAGCGAACAGG
rnacentral:rRNA from 1 species